ACCCUGCCUCAUUCAAAGGGAUUGGGUCUCUUGGUCCUCAGGGCGGAGAGCUGUUCAGGCAGCCAGGAUGGGAGGGAAGGGGGCUGGGCGAAGCCCGGGGGUCUCACUGCAUGCCCGGGGGGGGGGACGGCCGGGGUCCCCUGCUGCCUCCGUCUUCCUUCUUCUUCUCUGCCAGCGUCCUCUCUGCUCCACCCAAAUAAAUGCCAGCGGUCUCAGACCCCAGUUCAAACACACCACUACAUCCUAGAGGGAAGAAGGAAUGGGGUAACCAGCCUGGGAGCGGCGAGGACGCAAGGACCACAGCUGCAGGGAGCAUCAGUCACCACCCGAUGGACGAGCUUCAGACAUGCUGGCCCUGAACACCAGCUGCUGGAUACAGAGCCACGGAGGGCGGCAGAGUCCUUCUCAGAGAUCCCUCCACGCCACCAGCCCCAGGUCGACCGGAGGGUGUGGGGAAGCAGGGAAUUCAGGGGCCACGGAGAAACCCCCACUCCAGCUUCUCCAUUUCCAGUGAGUGCCAGCUGGACGUCCGGGCACUCGCAAACGUGGACUCGUACAAGGUUGGCAAAAGCAACAGGCUUAGAGGAGCUGGCCCCAACUCGAACUAGGGCGUCCUCCCAGCUCUUGGCUCCCCCAAACCCGCAAGCCCUCACUCACCCGGCAGAAGCCCGCUGCUCUCCUCCGAAGGCAGAAACAGCCGUGGAUUUUAAGACCUGAGAUGAUGCAACACUGUGGCUGUAACUCUGGACUGAAUCUUGCUCUGUAUUCUAUGUAUCAUAUUCUCUGAGAUAAAAAGGCACUUCAGAGCAAAAAAAACACCAAACUCUGGGCAAGUUAAGAGCUGCUGGAGUUACAUACGUGGGGAAGAGCAAAGUUCUCCAAGAUGGUGUGGUCAAAUGAACAGGAAGCUUUCCAAAGAACAGGGGCAAAUUCAGAAGAACGGGUAAGUUCAGAAGCCGGUGGUCCAGAUGAAUGCGGACCCCAAGGUCCAAUUCUGGGUUUUGCUCUGAGCUACAAGCUUCAUCACUUUGUUCAAAACCCCCAGAGUUUUGUGUUCAUAAUAAAUGUAUUGCCUUGAUCACCCCU
rnacentral:lncRNA from 1 species